rnacentral:lncRNA from 1 species
UCCAAUUUUCUAGACCCAGAACAGAAACAGAAUUCUAUUAUAAAGUAUACCCACCAAGAAAAUGUCCUGAGCUUUUCUUAGCCCAUGCCCUGAUUACAAUCUUCCACACUACAUUUCUUUAGAGAGCAGGUAAUCUUAGUGCUUUGCAGAAUAGUCCUAUUUUACCUUGAAAUUAUCAUCUGUUUCUUUCCCACCCUUACCAAAUUCAUUUUUCCUUUGGUAAAAUGCCAAUUCCAGAAAAGCACUUAAAAACAAAAAUCAUAUAAUUCCAAUGCCUGACAAAUGAUAGCCUGUACCAAUGAUCUAUUUUUAACUAGAAGGUAAGUGUUAAUAACAAAACAAUACUAAAUGAUACAUGUAAAUGGCAUUUGCCUCUAUGUGUCUACAAACUUACUUUUAGUUCCUGAUACCCUGUCACAUUUAGCAUAAGGACACUUAUACGUCAGAGUCCUUGAAAUAGGGUUUGUAAAUUUUAGGUGCCUAGUCACAGCAUCUAAUCUUUCACUGAAAAAAAGGAAAAGAUGUGGCUCUAGAGAAAUCAGUAUUUCAGAAACAAAUUCUUGCCUGUUUGACUGUAGCUUCUCAUCUAUCCAUACAACACAUGUAACCUGCACACUUUUUAGCAAGUCAAUUAUAGUUUUCAUAAAACAUACGGAAAUGCUGAAAUCUCUUGCAGCUGCUGAAAUACUUGAAUUCUGACAUCUUACAUGAAGUCAUGGACACCAAAUAUGUAGUAACCUACUUACAGGUUGAACUGCUUUUUGGCACCAUGAGAAGGGGCAACCUUCUAUCAAACUGAUUUGAUAAAUCUGUAAAUGUGUCUGGUAGGUUGCAGGGCUUGGAUCAGUAACAAAAAGCAUUGUAC